CAUGUAAUUCCAGGCUUUGUGUGUCAAAGGAGUGAAGGAACAUCGGCGCCAUAAAAACCCGAACUUCUUCUCACGCACAGAGAACACAGGGCGAGCAGUUGAUUCAGAUGACGAUAAACACAAACAAAUUGCAGCAGGUCAGAAAUAUGCAGCGUGGGCCUGGCAGACAGUGAGCUCGGUGAAAAGGGAAAGGAGUGAAAGUAAUUAAACUCCCACAGCGAAGUGUGUGACUGACUGGCGAAAAGAAAGAACCCAUUCACAUCAGCAGGCCAGGAGUAGGAAGUGUGCUCUGGGUGACCGACUCAUUAAUGUGAAUCUCCUCAAGGGCUGCUUAAGGUCAGCGUUAGGCUCCUGCUCGUUACACUCUCUGUAUCCACAGCCAAGACCUUGUCUUUCUUGGUGUAACAGCAACAUGCUAAUCAGCUAAAUUAGCUUUCAGCUAUUAUCUACCACGUUUUGCUGCUGCAGAGCAUCCACAUUCUCAGAACCUUAAUUAGUGAACAGCGAAGAAGAUAAUCGUCUGCAGCCUUCCAUGUUCUGGAGAUCUGCCUGAGCCUCGGAAAGAGUUUACAUCAGGUCAGACUGUUCCACUGUGGCCGCUAAACUCCUGCCCUACAGCUUUGAUUCGUCACUAAAAAAAACAAUUGUUAGAUUUUACGCUCAGCCUUGUGAUGGCUUUCAUAGCUUUAGCUAACUGAAUAUCACUUAAAUGGUCACUGACACUUUUCAAACAAUAGCAGUAAGCUGGAUAUUAAAGCCUGAUGAGCUGCACUGGGUGUGUAAGGACAUGAUUAAAAUGGUAUUUGGUGGAGCAAGAAGGAGCCUGAGACUCAGCAAAGACAUUUUCUCAUCGAGGCUGCUUUCAUCAAGAAAGGAGAAUCAUAAUAAACAGUUUUUUUAAACUACGCUUCUGCUGAAUCAAGCAUACACCCAUCUGUACUGUCUUAUCAUUCACCAUUUCAACUGAAUUGAAUUUCUUUUACUAUUUAAAAUCAGGAACCUGGCAUGCCAUAAAAUCCUUUUUUCCUAGUUCUAGU